GGCCAUGGAGGGGCUCU
rnacentral:misc_RNA from 1 species